rnacentral:rRNA from 1 species
GACGAACGCUGGCGGCGCGCUUAACACAUGCAAGUCGAGCGAGAACCAGGGCUUCGGCCCUGGGGACAGCGGCGAACGGGUGAGUAACACGUGGGUAAUCCACCCUCGGCACCGGAAUAGCCCGGGGAAACCCGGAUUAAUGCCGGAUGGCCCGCCCGCCCUGCGGGGCUGGCGGGAAAGGUAGCUUCGGCCUCCGGCCGAGGACGAGCCCGCGACGGAUUAGCUUGUUGGCGGGGUAACGGCCUACCAAGGCUGCGAUCCGUAGCUGGUCUGAGAGGACGAUCAGCCACACUGGGACUGAGACACGGCCCAGACUCCUACGGGAGGCAGCAGUGGGGAAUCUUGCGCAAUGGGCGAAAGCCUGACGCAGCGACGCCGCGUGAGGGAAGAAGGCCUUCGGGUUGUAAACCUCUUUCAGGAGGGACGAAGCCACUCGGGUUAAUAGCCCAGAGGGUGACGGUACCUCCAGAAGAAGCCCCGGCUAACUACGUGCCAGCCGCCGCGGUAA